UUCAUUCCCUGAUAAUACCACACAUGUCUGUAGGUUGAGGCAGUGAUUGACAAAAUUAUCGAGGAGGCAAGGACUGGGGAGAUUGGUGAUGGCAAAAUUUUCUUGAUCCCCGUCUCAGAUGUUAUAAGAAUACGGACAGGUGAACGUGGGGAGAAAGCAGAGAGGAUGACUGGUGGGAGAAGUGACAUGUUAUCUGCUGUAUGACUGUUGGAAUGAAAAGAUCAGCAUUUAUCAUCUUUUUCUCUUACCCUUUCCUUUUCCCUUGUGGAAUAAGCAAAUGCAUUGUGAUUUAUAUUUGCAAGGAUGUAUGACAGACUGUUGAAAGGACAGUGAUGAAACUUGUGAAAAAAUAAUAAACAAAGGCGAAUUACUUCAAUUAGCGCCAUGUCAUAUGACGCCAAAUUGUAUGUGAUGUAAUAAAUUAAUGACAUUAUCAGA